rnacentral:misc_RNA from 1 species
AUAAGUGCCCCGUCUUUUCGAAGACGGUUCUCUUCACACCGUGUAUACAUACCUUUGUUGCUUUGGCGGGCCGCCGUUUGGCGUUGGCUCCGGCUGACUGCGCCCGCCAGAGGACCCCAACUCUUCUGUUUAGUAUCGUCUGAGUACUAUAUAAUAGUUA